rnacentral:misc_RNA from 1 species
GAUGAAGAACGCAGUGAAAUGCGAUAAGUAGUGUGAAUUGCAGAAUUCCGUGAAUCAUCGAAUCUUUGAACGCACAUUGCGCCCCUUGGUAUCCCGAGGGGCAUGCCUGUUCGAGCGUCAUUUCACCACUCAAGCCUGGCUUGGUGUUGGGCGACGUCCCCUUUAGGGACGCGCCUCGAAACGCUCGGCGGCGUGGCACCGGCUUUAAGCGUAGCAGAAUCUUUCGCUUUGGAAGUCGGGGCACCGCCUGCCGGAAUACCUACUCGUAAGGUUGACCUCGGAUCAGGCAGGGAUACCCGCUGAACUUAAGCAUAUCAAUAAGCGGAGGA